rnacentral:rRNA from 1 species
ACGAACGCUGGCGGCAGGCUUAACACAUGCAAGUCGAACGAAUAAGAGCCGUAGCAAUACGGAGUUCUGUUAGUGGCGCACGGGUGAGUAACGCGUGGGAACGUGCCCUUUAGUUCGGGAUAACAGUUGGAAACGACUGCUAAUACCGGAUACGCCCUUCGGGGGAAAGAUUUAUCGCUAAAGGAUCGGCCCGCGUGAGAUUAGGUAGUUGGUGGGGUAAUGGCCUACCAAGCCUACGAUCUCUAGCUGGUCUGAGAGGAUGAUCAGCCACACUGGAACUGAGACACGGUCCAGACUCCUACGGGAGGCAGCAGUGGGGAAUAUUGGACAAUGGGCGAAAGCCUGAUCCAGCCAUGCCGCGUGAAUGAUGAAGGCCUUAGGGUUGUAAAAUUCUUUUUUAGGGGAAGAUAAUGACGGUACCCUAAGAAUAAGCUCCGGCUAACUUCGU